UACGGAGGGUGCAAACGUUGUUCGGAUUCACUGGGCGUAAAGGGUGCGCAGGCGGUCGGGUAAGUCUGACGUGAAAUCUUCAAGCUCAACUUGGAAACUGCGUCGGAUACUAUUCGGCUAGAGGAAUGGAGGGGAGACUGGAAUUCUCGGUGUAGCAGUGAAAUGCGUAGAUAUCGAGAGGAACACCAGUGGCGAAGGCGAGUCUCUGGACAUUUCCUGACGCUGAGGCACGAAAGCCAGGGGAGCAAACGGG
rnacentral:rRNA from 1 species